CCUCCAGAUGUUUUGGGACUACAACUCCCAUCAUCCCUGACCACUGGACCUGUUAGCUAGGAUGAUGGGAGUUGUAGUCUCAAAACAUCUGGAGG
rnacentral:miRNA from 1 species